GACGAACGCUGGCGGCGUGCCUAAUACAUGCAAGUAGAACUCAGUUGCGAGCGGGUGAGUAACGCUUCUGUAACUUCCUCAUAGCGGGGGAUAACUCUUGGAAACGAUAGCUAAUACCGCCUACUGUGAGCUGGACCUGCGUUGUAUUAGCGAGUUGGUGGGGUAAAGGUGCACCAAGGCGACGAUACAUUGCCGGCCUGAGCGGGGGAUGGGCAAAAAUGGGACUGGUAGACGGGCCAGACUCCGAAGGGAGGGCGGAGUAGGGAAUCUUCGGCAAUGGACGGAAGGAUGACCGAGCAACGCCGCGGGAGUGAAGAAGGUUUUCGGAUCGUAAAGCGCUGUUGUUAGAGAAGCGGUAACUAACCAGAAAGGGACGGCUAACUACGUGCCAGCAGCCGCGGUAAUUC
rnacentral:rRNA from 1 species